rnacentral:rRNA from 1 species
UACGUAGGAGGCAAGCGUUGUCCGGAUUUACUGGGCGUAAAGCGCGUGUAGGCCGUUCGGCAAGUCGGGUGUGAAAUCCCUGGGCUCAACCCAGGAACUGCGUCCGAUACUGGUUGGCUUGAAUCCGGGAGAGGGAUGUGGAAUUCCAGGUGUAGCGGUGAAAUGCGUAGAUAUUCGGAAGAACACCAGUGGCGAAGGCGACUCGCUGGACAGACAUUGACGCUGAGGUGCGAAAGCGUGGGGAGCAAACAGG